UUUUCAGUGAGAAAAGUUGAUCCUUCUUUUCUGUAAGGAUAAAGUACUUAGUGUAUCAUAGUCUCAUAAUGUUAAAACAGCACAUUUAAAAUGCACUAGAGAUAAAAUAUCCCUAAAUGAUUGUUCUACCACAGGGAAUGACUGUGAUACAAACUGCUUAAGGUGUUUAAGAAAACCAUGGGGCCAGAUUCUGCCAAAAUGUACUCCACACUUACACCAUAGCGUUUCAUCUUUUAAUUAUUUUUAGAAAAAUAAAACAAAACAAAUGAAUUUAAAAGUUACUUACCUUCCUUAGAUUAGCAAGAAUUAAAGUUGCUAGCCUAGCAAACGCUUUGCUUGGUGAGGAGUCGGGCUUCUGGUUAAAGACCUAUGUGUGGUUUUUCAGAUCUAACCUUGGGCAGUUGCAGAAGCUUUACCUAGUUGGCCUCAGAGGGGACAACUGCCCUCGCCACACCAGACUGGCUGCACAGCUAGUGCACUGCAGGCUCUCAGGGGAGCUGUGGUCAAGGACUCUGACCCCUCCAGCCCAUCAUAUUCUUCACACAUUUGUGUUCCUGGCCGAGGUGCCUUCAUUCCCAGGUCUCUUCACCUGAGCCCUUCAGCAGAGGUUGUCUUCAGGCUGCUCUGCCAAGGCCUCUUUAUGGGGGUUGGGUGAGAGAAGGGGAAACCUUGCAAACACUUUUCCCCACUCUGACUCAGUAUCCAGUCUUCUUCCCUAGCCCUCGCUAUCUUCCUCUGGUUCCAGGUCCAUAAAACUGCAAGGGCUUUGUGUCAGGGAUGCCCUUGUCAGUGAGAUGACCGCCACAACUGAGCGGACCCAUCUGACCAUCGGUGUACCCUUCCAUGGAGAAAUGGAAUGGGGGAAUCAGUGCUUUAACUUGCUUGUACCAUCACAGAUUUUCAGGACGCAUGUCUAAGACCUUGGUCAGCAUUUCAGAAAGAUGAUCAUACCUACCCAAAGAAAGAAAAUUCCAGGUAAUACCCCUAUCAAAAGCAUUUGAAAAGACAAUUCAUGCAUACUCAGUUGGUUUUAAGGAAACUUCAACAGCUCGAAGCUUUUGGAGAUUUUCCAUGGAAAACCACUUAACAGUAACUUCUAUCACUGCCAAGAACUUAUCCUAAAAUUUUCCUUAGAAAUUGCCUUAAGUAUGAUAUGAAUAUUUAACUUAUUAAAGAAAACAUAUUCCGGCAAGAUGUAUGUUGUACAUCAGUACAUUUUCUCAUUUUGUUUCAGAUUGAAAUCUCUUGGUAAUAUAUUUAAAGUGACUGUAUAUUUAAAGUGACUAACCUUAUUUUUCAUUCUUUUAUCUUAACUUCUUUUCCUUCCCCCUUCCCCUUUCCUCACGAAAUCCAAUUUGAUUUCUAAAUCCAGUUGACUCUCUUAAGAUCUGUUCUAUUCUUUCCCAUUUCCUAAGCUAAUUAUGUACAAGCGUUUUUAGACCUAUAAGAAAUGGAUUUCAUAUUGCAACCCCCACUCACACAACUGAAAGAAGUGUCAUCAGAUGUUGCUCACCUGUAUUAAAAUGUGAUACAUCUAAUAUUUUUUGUUUUAUUCUAUUAAAAACUCUGCCCUAGCUUUUUAUUUCAUAACUGAAUUAAUGAAACUGCCUCUGACCUCUCUGUUGAUUAAUUAAUUAACCUCUAACCACUAACCCCUUAUUAAUUCAUUACAUUUUAUACAUAAUUGCUAGGAUGUGCUUUUUUAAAUACCAGAUUUACAAUGUGAAUUUACUAUUUAAGAGCCCAAAAUGCCUGUCAGGCCAAAAAGAAACUCCUCUGUCCAGUGUGGAAACUUGCAUAAAUUGCCUCUCUGGCAGAUAAACAUUGUUUCUCUUCAACUUCAUUUCCAACAAUUAGAACUUCUGCCCCAGUGAAGUAAAUCUACUAAAUACCACUUUCAUCUAGUUGCUAAGUCUGACCUGAGAGACUUUGCUUACUGUGUCCCAUAUAUAUUAUUUCUCUCAGGAAAUAAUUUAAAUCCCACCUCACCACUCAGGUCAUUCCUGAAACCAUCCUUCCUCAGUAUAGAGAGGGCGUUUCCGAGAUCACUGAUAUACUGCUAUGUUACUGUGUACGUUACAUAUUUCCCAUUCAGCAACAGCAGUAGGUUCUUCCAGGGCUGAAAUUAGGUUUUUGUUUGUUUGUUAUUGUUUUAAUGUAUCUCCCCCCUUAUUAUAGUUAGCAAAAUGGUUGUUCAAUAAAUGCCUACUUUCUGUUAA